GGUCUAGGCUAGUGUUGUGUUUGAUCAGAGUCGACACCAUGUCAUAGGAGCCCUUUUUUACAGCUUGAAAAUGAUUGUUAAAAACAACAGACCCAGGAACCUCAUAUGUAAAUCAUGUUCAUCAGGUUUCCCCUAUAGAAACAGGGUUUUUUUCCCUUGCCACAAAAGAUAGCAGAAGAAGAGACAGAUUUGGAUCUCACUCGUAGAGUUGACGGCCUAGAGAAGAAGCCUAUGCUGCCUUCUAUUUAAAGAGAGACUCAAAGUCUGGGCCUGUACUGGGAAACGUAGAAGAAGAUGUGAGGCCACAUGGAACGUUCUGGGGUAACCAGGAGGCAGAACGCAGAAAGGAUCUAAAGCCAAGGCAAGGAAAGCAGCUCCCAGUGUGGUAAUGGGAGGAUGAAGACGAACUUUGCCUACUUCAUUUGGGAGCAGGCAAGCCAUCCCUGCAGGAGAUGCCCGUUUUUCUCCCUCUCCUUGUCUAAAGUAGAACCUGUUGACAAAUGCCUCUCUCUGAAUUGCCCAACUGUCACCGGCAGCUCUAAUUGCAGUGAAUUACCUCAUGCUAGCUGGUGUUAUUGCAGAGCAAACAUCAAGUAAGCUAAACAAACUAAGAGAAAUGUGUCCUCAUGGAUCUUCUUGCUCUGAUGGCAGUUUUUAUAAUUAGAGAAAAAAUGUAUUAAAAUAAUGAGCCUCUUCCCUCAUAAUCGUUUUACCUUUUGUCUGACUCAGAAAACAUAUUGAUUAAAAUAGUUUCUCUUCAUGAAAAUAACUGCAUAAAUGGGCCAUCUUCAACUUAAGAUAGUUUUUAAAAAAUCAAAACUUCACUUCCAAUUUAAUUUUUUGAAAUCAAGAAUGUAUUUCCCAUAGAAAUAAUAAUGCAAAUGGUAGGAAAUCCCUUCCAAGCUAACUCAUGAAGACAUUCUUAACCAAUAAAUGACUGAAAUAAUGAAAACUCAUAAAGCACAGUAUUGGUGUAACAUAAAUGAUUAAGUAAAAUAAUUUAAAAAUGUCUUGUUUUACAUGUGGAUUAUAUAUAUGUUUACAUAUUAUAUAUAAAUUUUUUUCUCUAGAACUUAAAAUUCUAAAAUUUAGAAUUCUUUAGAAUUUUUUCAGAAAUGUUCAAAUUAUUUAUUAAUUUUUAAAAUGUAUAGCUUCAAUAGUAAUGCUUAAAACUGACUUUAAGUUGAAGAGUUUAGGGAAUUAGAUUAAGAAUUUUGCAUAGAUGAUAGGCAAGGGUUAUCUUGAUUAUCUUGACAAGGACUGCUGGAUUAAAAGCAGAAAUGGAGUGAAGAAGAUGUGUAUUGAUUUGUGAGAAAGAAAAUGUCUGAAGCAAAAUGAACUGAUCUGUGAAUGGGGUAAGGCCAUCAGGAAUGGAGGGCAGUGGGACUGAAGCGUCAUGCCAGACGGUCCCUGAGCGUCCUCCUUACUCUGGGCUCCACUGGCCAGGAUCAGCUUGUGCCUAUCCAACUAGGGAAAGGUGACACCAACUCCAGGGGAGUGGGCAGAGAAGGAGUCCAAGUGCAAAAACCUUUAGUAAGUGUCAGAUCAUCACAAAUCAGAUAUCUACCACUCAGCAAGAAACUCUAUGACUAUAAUACAUCAAAGUACCUUAAAUAAGGAAGGGCCAGAUGGCUGAUAGGGAAUAAGGGUCCCAGAGGGACCAAAAGUGAUUUUUUUUCUUGGCCCUCUAAGGAUAUCUCAUAAAUAGAGAUAAGGAUGAUGCCAUUAGGAUAAGAAAAAUUAACAUGGCAUUGUACAGACAAAAAGAAGAAAUACUUUUUUCCCUCUUAUCUCUCCUCUACAAGUUAAGGGAUUCUGAAUAGCAAAUCUCAAAGAAGACCAUAGAUUCAAGAACAAACUGAGGAAGUGCCAUGAAUAAUCCAUUUUCCUAUAAAACCUAAGAAGACUUGGCAUGGGUUCCACAACAAAGGUGCUGAUUAAGGUGACCCAGGAAAAGUCCUUCUUCCCCAGAUGUGUGGCUGAUGAGGAUGUACAUGAGCACCUCCAGGAUAUUAACUUCAUGGAGACUUUAGUCCUCUCUCGACCUUACCACUUAGUUUUUAAAAUAUAUUACUUCCUAAUAUUAAUUCUGUUUCAACUCUGAUAACUCAGUGAUAGAGUUCCUUUCCUACACUUUAGAUAUUGCUAGCAUAGAGAAUGAAACCAACAUGGAACUUUGAAAUGCAUGUAAAUGUUUACUGCUCUGUUGUAGGCCUUAAGCAUUAAAGAAAAAUUUAAAUGAGGCCAAAAGAAAACAAGGAGUGAUAAUCAUGGCUUAGUUGUCCUUUAAGAAAUAAGUGGAUUGAUACUAGCAAGUGGAGAAUAAUUCUGUAUUUGCAAAGUGAAGCAGUAUACCAUUCUGGAAGUGUGUCCUUUUUGUGCAGAAAUUCAAGGUGAUCUAUAGAAACAACACAGGUGUUGUUGCAAACACUCCUGCGGCAUAUU